GCUGAGAGUGACUUGCACUUUAUCGCAAUGCCUACUUCAUCUCGAAAAAUCGUUAUAAACAAAGGUUAUGUCGGAGACGAUUCUGCCACGAAUGAGUCGCUGGGACUAAAACAAAUUAGUUUAAAAGAGGCCAAUUUUGGAGCAGCAAGUGAUCCAGGGAGCGCACUUUACGAAACGCAUGAGGAGAAACCACACCCGGCAAGGCGAUCGAACGGGAGAUAUUUGCCCUUGUUCUUUUUUGCGUGUUUACUUUCCAUCGUCGCCAUUAUUCUGAGUUUGCUGUCGCUGUGGGGGAAUUUCGGUGAAAAAUGUGAUUGCUCCAAAACUGAAGCACUCACUACGUCCGUUGAAAAGCUGUCUGCUGAUGUAAUCAAGAUUAGUUCCUUGGAAGAGAACAUGACGCGCUUUCAGCGAGAUUUGAUAGAGAAAGAGGCCGAGUUAAACAGUACCCGUUUAUCCUUGGAUUACCUUCAAGAAGAACACAACAACUUAAGUGAAAAGACUGAUGCAGAACUUAGCUCUGUUCGAAACGAUUUGGACAAUUCAAAGAAAUUACUCAUGACGUCUGAAAAAGAAACAAGGAAAACACUAGCAGCAGUCAAUUCAUCCUUUGUUAAUGAGGUUUGAAGUUAUUACAUUAUAUUAGUGAUUGUAGAGAUUUUAGAAUUCGUCACGGAACAAGACUCCUGGAGGUGUUGACGCAGGAUGCAUUGGUCGUUAUUUGCAGUGAAUCUGGUUUUAGGUAGAAUAUGACAAAUCUAGUGGUGACUCUUCAAGAUUCAGGAAUAAAAUCAAAAAAUUAAGACAGGAAAAAAAAUAAACAACAUGAGAUAUUAUAUGCGGUCAUCCAUCCGAGUCAGAGUAACUCCAAGUCAAAAGGGCUUAACUUAACUGACAAAAAAAGCGCGUGGUUAAUUUCCAUUUCUGACUACACCGACACUCAACCAAAUUUGUAACGCAGUCUACCAUAGAAAGCCCACGUAAUAAUCAAAGCGACAAAGCAAGUAACACCCAAUCAGCUAAAUGAACGAACGAACGAGAUUUUCCUUACAUUUAAUCUUUCAUCUUUUUCUUUCAGGUAGAAAAGCUCGAUUCAUAUUUGAAUCAGCUCAAGUCUGCACUGAAUAGAACAAACACACACGUCACAGAGAUCAACGAAACUUUAAGAAAGUAUCCCUGCUGUUCUAACCCGUGCAAAAACGGACGGACCUGCUAUCUAGCGAACGAGAGGUGCAAAUUCAUAUGUGCUUGUGCUCCAGGUUUUGUUGGAGAAAAAUGUGAAAAAGGUAAUAUCAUUUCUACAG
rnacentral:misc_RNA from 1 species